rnacentral:rRNA from 1 species
GAUGAACGCUGGCGGCGUGCUUAACACAUGCAAGUCGAACGGGAAACCUUUUAUUGAAGCUUCGGCAGAUUUGGCUGGUUUCUAGUGGCGGACGGGUGAGUAACGCGUGGGUAACCUGCCUUAUACAGGGGGAUAACAACCAGAAAUGGUUGCUAAUACCGCAUAAGCGCACAGGACCGCAUGGUCCGGUGUGAAAAACUCCGGUGGUAUAAGAUGGACCCGCGUUGGAUUAGCUAGUUGGCAGGGUAACGGCCUACCACGGCGACGAUCCAUAGCCGGCCUGAGAGGGUGAACGGACACAUUGGGACUGAGACACGGCCCAGACUCCUACGGGAGGCAGCAGUGGGGAAUAGUGCACAAUGGGGGAAACCCUGAUGCAGCGACGCCGCGUGAAGGAAGAAGUAUCUCGGUAUGUAAACUUCUAUCAGCAGGGAAGAUAGUGACGGUACCUGACUAAGAAGCCCCGGCUAACUACGUG